UGGCUCUCGCAUCGAUGAAGAACGCAGCGAAAUGCGAUAAGUAAUGUGAAUUGCAGAAUUCAGUGAAUCAUCGAAUCUUUGAACGCACCUUGCGCUCCUUGGUAUUCCGAGGAGCAUGCCUGUUUGAGUCUCAUGGAAUUCUCAACCUUCAACUUUAUUGAUGAAGGCUUGGACUUGGAGGUCGUGUCGGCUCUAGUAGUCGACUCCUCUGAAAUGCAUUAGUGCGAACGUUACCAGCCGCUUCAGCGUGAUAAUUAUCUGCGUUGCUGUGGAGGGUAAGUGAGUGUUCACGCUUCUAAUCGUCUUCGGACAACAUUUCUGAACUCUGAGCUCAAAUCAGGUAGGACUACCCGCUGA
rnacentral:misc_RNA from 1 species